AUGGAACAAUCUUCAAUAAUAAUAAAAACUAAUUUGUAUUUUACAGUACAUACCUUUUUUUGUUGCUGUAGUUGUUGCAGCAGUAGUAGUAGGAGAGGUAGCAGCAGUAGUGGUAGUAGAAGUAGUAGCAGCAGAAGUAGUAAGAGAAGUAGCAGCAGUAGUAGUAGUAGUUGUAGUAGGAAAAGUAAUAGUAGGAUGAGGAGGAGUAGGAGGAACAGCAACAGAAGUAGUAGUAGGACGAGAAGUAGCAGUAGUAGUUGUAGUAGGACUAGUAGUAGAAGUAGUAGUAGGAGGAGGAGCUGCAGUAGUAGUAGCAGUUGUAGUAGGAGAAGUAGUAGUAGCAGUUCUAGUAGAAGUAGCAAUAGUAGUUGGAGGAGGAGGAACAGCAACAGUAGUAGUAGUAGGAGGAGGAGAAGUAGCAGUAGAAGUUGUGGUGGCAGUAGUAUUAGUGGUAGGAGGAACAGCAACAACAGUAGUAGUGGGAAGAGGAUUAGUAGUAGUAGCAGCAGUAGUUGUAGUAGGAGUAGUAGCUGCAGUAGUAGUAGCAAUUGUAGUAGGAGAAGUAGCAGCAGUUGUAGUAAGAGAAGUGGCAGCAGUAGUAGUUGUAGUAGGAAAAGUAGUAGUAGUAGGAGGAGGAGUAGGAGGGACAGCAACAGAAGUAGCAGCAGUAGUUGUAGUAAGAGUAGUAGUAACAGUAGUAGUAGUAGGAGGAGGAGGAGUAGCUGCAGUAGUAGUAGCAGUUGUAGUAGGAGAAGCAGCAGCAGUAGUAGUAGCAGCAGUAGUAGUAGGAGUUGUAGCUGCUGCAGUAGUAGUAACAGUUCUAGCAGAAGUAGUAGUAGGAGUAGUAGCUGCAGUAGUAGUAGUAACAGUUCUAGUAGAAGUAGUAGUAGGAGUAGUAGCUGCAGUAGCAGUAGUAGCAGUUGUAGUAGGAGAAGUAGCAGCAGUAGUAGUAGGAGGAGGAACGGCAACAGUAGUAGUAGUAGUAGGAGAAGUAGUAGUAGCUGA
ensembl:lncRNA